UACGAACUGUGCGAACGUUAUUCGGAAUCACUGGGCUUAAAGGGUGCGUAGGCGGCGCGGAAAGUAGGGUGUGAAAUCCCUCAGCUCAACUGAGGAACUGCGCUCUAAACUACCGUGCUUGAGGGAAAUAGAGGUGAGCGGAACUUAGGGUGGAGCGGUGAAAUGCGUUGAUAUCCUAAGGAACACCGGUGGCGAAGGCGGCUCACUGGAUCUCUUCUGACGCUGAGGCACGAAAGCUAGGGGAGCGAACGGG
rnacentral:rRNA from 1 species